GACGAACGCUGGCGGCGGGCUUAACACAUGCAAGUCGAACGGUGAAGGGAUCAGCUUGCUGGUUCUGGAUGAGUGGCGAACGGGUGAGUAACACGUGAGUAACCUGCCCCCUUCUUCUGGAUAACCGCAUGAAAGUGUGGCUAAUACGGGAUAUUCUGCGCCUGCUGCAUGGUGGGUGUGGGAUAGAUAUUGUUUCGGUUGGGGAUGGGCUCGGGGCCUAUCAGCUUGUUGGUGGGGUGAUGGCCUACCAAGGCGGUGACGUGUAGCCGACCUGAGAGGGUGGCAGGUCACAAUGGAACUGAGAAACAGCCAAGAAUGGUACGGGAGGCAGCAGUGGGGAAUAUUGCACAAUGAGCGCAAGCCUGAUGAAGCGACGCCGCGUGAGGGAUGGAGGCCUUCGGGUUGUGAACCUCUUUCGCCAGUGAAGCAGGCCUGUCCCUUGUGGGUGGGUUGACGGUAGCUGGAGAAGAAGCGCCGGCUAACUACGUG
rnacentral:rRNA from 1 species